rnacentral:tRNA from 1 species
GCCAUUGCGGUGUAGUGGUCAGCACGCUCGACGCGUAACCGAGAGAUCCGUGGUUCGAUUCCCGGCGAAGGUG